rnacentral:rRNA from 1 species
GUCCAGACUCCUACGGGAGGCAGCAGUGGGGAAUAUUGCACAAUGGGGGAAACCCUGAUGCAGCGACGCCGCGUGAGCGAUGAAGUAUUUCGGUAUGUAAAGCUCUAUCAGCAGGGAAGAAAAUGACGGUACCUGACUAAGAAGCCCCGGCUAACUACGUGCCAGCAGCCGCGGUAAUACGUAGGGGGCAAGCGUUAUCCGGAUUUACUGGGUGUAAAGGGAGCGUAGACGGCAAUGCAAGCCAGAUGUGAAAGCCCGGGGCUCAACCCCGGGACUGCAUUUGGAACUGUGUAGCUGGAGUGUCGGAGAGGCAGGCGGAAUUCCUAGUGUAGCGGUGAAAUGCGUAGAUAUUAGGAGGAACACCAGUGGCGAAGGCGGCCUGCUGGACGAUGACUGACGUUGAGGCUCGAAAGCGUGGGGAGCAAACAGGAUUAGAUACCCCUGUACA